rnacentral:rRNA from 1 species
CCCUUAGAUGUUCUGGGCUGCACGCGCGCUACACUGAUACUUUCAGCGAGUCCACCACCUUGCCUGGGAGGGUGGGGUAACCUCUGGAAAGUGCAUCGUGAUGGGGAUCGAUUAUUGUAAUUAUUAAUCUUCAACGAGGAAUUCCUAGUAAGCAUGUGUCAUCAGCCCGUGCUGAUUACGUCCCUGCCCUUUGUACACACCGCCCGUCGCUCCUACCGAUUGGGUGAGCCGAUGAAACUCUCGGAUGUAGGCUAUUCAUAGCCCGCAGAAGAGAUUUGAAUCGUAGCGCUUAGAGGAAGGAGAAGUCGUAACA